AUUCCAGGCUCUGUGAACUAAGUGACUGAAGCUGAUUGACACAGGUCAAGGGGACUUCAAGGAAGAAAGCCAGCCUUAGACUGACAUCAGAGAACCAAACUCCGGUGUCUAAGCUCAAGUAAUACAAGUAAUUGGGAAGACACUGGCUCAGAGCCUGUCUCUGGUGACCACUGAAUUGUCCAGCACCUGAGGUCCCUGGAGCCCACGGACUGAGCCCAUCUGGGCUAAAAGAGGUCCCAUACAUCCUUCUCAAAGGCCUAUAUAAAUGCCAAGCAGAGUUAUAGCAGGAGGUUAGAAUCCUGAGAACUGUUUGGAAUAAGGAAUCCAAAUAUUGUCUUCCAGCUUCACCUUGUCACGACAGUCCUCGCCAGGGACAGCUGAGCAUCUACAUCUCCAUUUAUGCCGUGUGCACGCAGUACCAACAGAGGUCAGAGGAGGGUGUCGGAUCCCCUGGAACUGGAGUCACAGAUUCUUCCUUGCGUGGAUGAAACAGUCCCAACGAACACUUUAAAAAGACAAAUGUUCCCGACAGCACUGGUUGAAUUCAAAACUCGGCAGAUCCAUGUUCUUAUCCUUAGACAAGAGAGGGGCCAUAACAAGAUGGAAUGACGGAACAGACGUGAGAGAUGAUGGUACAGUGACUCGGGUAACCCCAGAAAAGGGACAGCUCUUCUACAGCUCAGUGGGGACAGGGACAAAAAGAAACAAUUUCAUUUCAGUCCACCCAGAGGGUCUGCACUUCUCGGAGCCAGAAGGUGGAGAAGAGUAGGGAUGGAGGAAGUUCGAAGUUUUAGGAGUCUGCUCUUGGGUCCCUAGGCAUGAGGACAAGCUUUUCCUGUACUCAAUGCUCAUCUCUCAGUUGUGCCCACAUUGGUACACAUUACUUGCUUUCAACUGCUGCUGCUGCUGUUUCCUAAUUCAAUAAAGAUAUGGCUGGCUCAGCAGAGAGCUGUCAUCCA
rnacentral:lncRNA from 1 species